GAAUAAUUCACAAUGGGCGAAAGCCUGAUGGUGCAACGCCGCGUGGAGGAUGACGGUCUUCGGAUUGUAAACUCCUGUCAUCGGGGAGUAAGACCUGGCGGUAAAUAGCCGACAGGGUUGAUAGUACCCGAAGAGGAAGGGACGGCUAACUUCGUGCCAGCAGCCGCGGUAAUACGAAGGUCCCGAGCGUUGUUCGGAAUCACUGGGCGUAAAGGGAGCGUAGGCGGCGUGGUAAGUCAGAUGUGAAAUCCCGGGGCUCAACCCCGGAACUGCAUCCGAUACUGCCAUGCUUGAGUAAUGGAGGGGUAGCUGGAAUUCUCGGUGUAGCAGUGAAAUGCGUGGAUAUCGAGAGGAACACUCGUGGCGAAGGCGAGCUACUGGACAUUUACUGACGCUGAGGCUCGAAGGCUAGGGGAGCAAAAGGG
rnacentral:rRNA from 1 species